CCUACGGGGGACAGCAGUGAGGAAUAUUGGUCAAUGGCCGGAAGGCUGAACCAGCCAUGCCGCGUGAAGGUCAGUGCCCUAUGGGCGUUAAACUUCUUUUGUGCGGGAGCAAUAAUGGUCACGUGUGGCCAGACGAGAGUACCGUACGAAUAAGCAUCGGCCAACGCCGUGCCAGCAGCCGCGGUAAUACGGGGGAUGCAAGCGUUUUCCGGAUUUAUUGGGGUUAAAGGGUGCGUAGGCUGUGAGGUAAGUCAGAGGUGAAAUGCCCCCGCUCAACGGGGUGAAGUGCCAUUGAUACUGCCUUGCUGGAAUGCGGAUGCAGUGGGAGGAAUGUGUGGUGUAGCGGUGAAAUGCAUAGAUAUCACACAGAACACCGAUUGCGAAGGCAUCUCACGAAUCCGCGAUUGACGCUGAUGCACGAAAGCGUGGGUAUCAAACAGGAUUAGAUACCCGUGUAGUC
rnacentral:rRNA from 1 species